AGAACUUAGCAGAGAUGCUUUGGUGCCUUCGGGAACUCUGAGACAGGUGCUGCAUGGCUGUCGUCAGCUCGUGUUGUGAAAUGUUGGGUUAAGUACCCGCAACGAGCGCAACCCUUAUCCUUUGUUGCCAGCGGGUUAUGCCGGGAACUCAAAGGAGACUGCCAGUGAUAAACUGGAGGAAGGUGGGGAUGACGUCAAGUCAUCAUGGCCCUUACGAGUAGGGCUACACACGUGCUACAAUGGCGCAUACAAAGAGAAGCGACCUCGCGAGAGCAAGCGGACCUCAUAAAGUGCGUCGUAGUCCGGAUUGGAGUCUGCAACUCGACUCCAUGAAGUCGGAAUCGCUAGUAAUCGUAGAUCAGAAUGCUACGGUGAAUACGUUCCCGGGCCUUGUACACACCGCCCGUCACACCAUGGGAGUGGGUUGCAAAAGAAGUAGGUAGCUUAACCUUCGGGAGGGCGCUUACCACUUUGUGAUUCAUGACUGGGGUGAAGUCGUAACAAGGUAAGCGUAGUGCU
rnacentral:rRNA from 1 species